UGUAGAGUUGUAGACGGGUAGGUCGGAAUGUCCGCUGAAGAUCGACAGAUACACACAAAAAGUCACCUCCCAACCCAAAACCUCAACCUCCAAUAUGUCUUUAUUCAUAGUCCAAUUUUCAUCUCCUCCUCCUUGCUCUCCUUCCUCCCCAAGAAAUCAUGUCUCUUGGCCCAUUGAUGUUCAGGUCACUGGUGAGGCUACUAACAUCACUGAUUCGUGAUCCGGCUGCUUCAAUCUCAACCCUGCUCUUCUACAGUGAGCUUCUACCUCAGAAUAUCGUGCUAGAAAGAUUAGUUCGACAUGAAUUGCUUGACCAAGAAAACUAUUUGUUCCACUUCCUGGUCAACUUUUUGAGAUGUUUUUGGUAAGAAUUAGGCAUAUAUGACUCGUUAUUCCAAUACAGGAGCCGGCAUUUUUAUUGUAAUGGCAUACCAUUAGUUAGUUCUGAGUGUUUGGGAUUGAAAUAACACUGUAAUGCUACUGACUUCAAAUCAUAAUGAGAAAUUUAGUUUCACUUUUGUAA